rnacentral:misc_RNA from 1 species
AAAAAAAAAAAAAAAAAAAGCAUAGCAGACACUGAGAAUAGAACAGAAAAAUAACAUCAAGUGAAUGAAAUUAUAAAUAUUUUCCACGAAAAUAAACAAAUACUCACUUCAUGCACCUAACAAAGGAUAAACUCUUUCAACGAAGCAAACAAAAGGGCAAAAAAAAAAAGUUUCUUGUCUUAUUCAUGAGUUGCACAUAUGCAUAUUAUUUCAAUUUGGAGUAAUUUCAUCAUAAAUAUUUAAAUUCAAUUUAAAAACUAAAAGAAAAAAAAAAUCAUAGAACUAAUGUAAUCGAGGAGAGUGGCGUUAGCUUCGCUGUCCUUGGCAGAGGCAUAUAUUUGCACCCCUAACGCUUCAUCACAGAAAUCUGUACCCACAACAACACAAUUAGAAUGAAUUUUCACAAAUAUAUAUACACACACGCACACGUAAGCAUACAGACCUGUGAUGGAGGAAGAUUAGCUAUAUUAUUCAUUAAAAAAAAAAAGCCCAUAGUCUAAAGAAAAUCUUAGCUACUGGCAUUGGCCAACAUUAAAAAACACCCAAACCCCAGAGCAAAUGAAACCUAGCAAGAGCAAUACUCUGCCUGACAUAGGAGGACCUUCAGAGACACUAGAAGCGUGCCAUCAAAUUGUUGUCGAAUCAACGCCGACGAACGAUGAAAGCGCCGAGUAGCACACAAGGCAAGCAAGGCUAGAAGAAUCCAAGAAUGCUCAAACAACCAGUAUAAUGAAGUCGCGGAAAGAGUGGGAACCAAGAAACUAACCCAUAAAAGCACAACACCGCAGAGAUGCUAGAGAUCCAGAGGAGGAAAGGAGAACUCCGAGGCAAUCCCACUCUCUUAUAGCCAAGCCAUUGGGGGAAAAACCUUCUAAUGCGC